rnacentral:rRNA from 1 species
AGCGUGGAGACAGGUGGUGCAUGGCUGUCGUCAGCUCGUGUCGUGAGAUGUUGGGUUAAGUCCCGCAACGAGCGCAACCCUCACCCCUUGUUGCCAUCAGGUCAUGCUGGGCACUCUAGGGGAACUGCCCCGGUCAACGGGGAGGAAGGCGGGGAUGACGUCAAGUCAUCAUGCCCCUUACGCCCUGGGCUACACACGUGCUACAAUGGCCGGUACAAAGGGAUGCAACGCCGCGAGGCAGAGCCAAACCCAAAAAGCCGGUCUAAGUUCAGAUUGGAGUCUGCAACUCGACUCCAUGAAGGAGGAAUCGCUAGUAAUCGCGUAUCAGCACGACGCGGUGAAUACGUUCCCGGGCCUUGUACACACCGCCCGUCACACCACGAAAGCCAGCUGUACUCGAAGUCGCUGAG